AGCACUUCCUGCUUUUAUCUGGCUGAUUAUUAUCUGUACAGAUUCAUGGAAGUGCUGAGACUAAACCCUUCUCUUGCAACCCACGACUGACUUGUGUAAGUUGUGUUACUUAUGGGGAGGGACAGG